GAUGAAGAACGCAGCGAAAUGCGAUAAGUAAUGUGAAUUGCAGAAUUCAGUGAAUCAUCGAAUCUUUGAACGCACAUUGCGCCCUCUGGUAUUCCGUGGGGCAUGCCUGUUCGAGCGUCAUUAUAACCACUCAAGCUCUCGCUUGGUAUUGGAGUUCGCGAUCUCGCGGCUCCUAAAAUCAGUGGCGGUGCCUGUCGGCUCUACGCGUAGUAAUACUCCUCGCGAUUGAGUCCGGUAGGUUUACUUGCCAGCAACCCCCAAUUUUUACAGGUUGACCUCGGAUCAGGUAGGGAUACCCGCUGAACUUAAGCAUAUCAAUAAGCGGAGGA
rnacentral:misc_RNA from 1 species